rnacentral:rRNA from 1 species
GACGAACGCUGGCGGCGUGCUUAACACAUGCCAGUCGAACGGAAAGGCCCUGCUUUUGUGGGGUGCUCGAGUGGCGAACGGGUGAGUAACACGUGAGUAACCUGCCCUUGACUUUGGGAUAACUUCAGGAAACUGGGGCUAAUACCGGAUAGGAGCUCCUGCUGCAUGGUGGGGGUUGGAAAGUUUCGGCGGUUGGGGAUGGACUCGCGGCUUAUCAGCUUGUUGGUGGGGUAGUGGCUUACCAAGGCUUUGACGGGUAGCCGGCCUGAGAGGGUGACCGGCAAAAUUGGGAAUGAGAUACGGCCCAGACUCCUACGGGAGGCAGCAGUGGGGAAUAUUGCACAAUGGGCGGAAGCCUGAUGCAGCAACGCCGCGUGCGGGAUGACGGCCUUCGGGUUGUAAACCGCUUUCGCCUGUGACGAAGCGUGAGUGACGGUAAUGGGUAAAGAAGCACCGGCUAACUACGUG